rnacentral:tRNA from 1 species
AGGUGGAACCCCGGCCCAACCGCCUGCCCGAUCCUACGGAUCAGAAGGUUGCAGGUUCGAAUCCUGCCGAGU